AGUGGAGCCUGCGGCUUAAUUUGACUCAACACGGGAAACCUCACCAGGCCCGGACACCGGAAGGAUUGACAGAUUGAGAGCUCUUUCUUGAUUCGGUGGGUGGUGGUGCAUGGCCGUUCUUAGUUGGUGGAGCGAUUUGUCUGGUUAAUUCCGAUAACGAACGAGACUCUAGCCUGCUAACUAGGCGUAUUUCGACAUCCCAAAGGCCCGCCGAUUCGAGGUUUCGACCUCUUAUCGUGCGCGGUUUUUACUGUCGGCGUACAAACAAUUCUUCUUAGAGGGACAGGCGGCAUUUAGCCGCACGAGAUUGAGCAAUAACAGGUCUGUGAUGCCCUUAGAUGUUCUGGGCCG
rnacentral:rRNA from 1 species